GUUCAUAGAAUAUCCUAAAGAGUCAUUAGGAUACUAUUUCUAUAUUCCAGAAGAUCACAAUAUGAUUGUGAAUCGACAUGCUAUUUUUUUUGAAAAAUAAUUUAUUUAAGAUAGUGGAAUCAAAAAGAAUAAUUAAGCUCAAAGAGAAUAUCUUCCAAGAGCAACGAGCUAAGGAACCUGAGGAACCCAAUCAAUUAGAACCAGUCCUAACACAACCUCUUCUACCCC
rnacentral:lncRNA from 1 species